GACAUGGUGCAUCUUGCCGAUGCAUAAUUGAUUUCACAAAUUUUGCUCAAAUUACAACUACAACACAAUAGAAUAUUUAUAACCGUACAGUCAAAAGCACUGAUAGAAAUUCCAAUGUAUCAUAUGAGACAACAAAAAUGACCAAAAAAAAACCUGAUAAUAAGUUGACAGUCUGGAGAGGCACAUAACUGAAAAUAAGGCAGCUUCCGCUUCUCUGACCUGAAGUAGCAAUGGCAAAAUAUCUAUGUAGCAUAUUCGGACAUAUGGAUGAAGCGGUUUGCACUCAUUUUCCCUAUGGUGCCCACAAGUAAAAUUUAAAAAGAAAGGCAUGAAGGAAAAGAAAAUACAAAGAAAUACGAUCUUCCUGGUGCCAAUUACAGGUGCUGGUAUGUCCUCU
rnacentral:lncRNA from 1 species